GCAUAUCAAUAAGCGGAGGAAAAGAAACCAACAGGGAUUGCCUUAGUAGCGGCGAGUGAAGCGGCAAGAGCUCAAAUUUGAAAUCUGGUACCUUCGGUGCCCGAGUUGUAAUUUGAAGAAAGUAAUCUUGGAGGUGGCCUUUGUCUAUGUUCCUUGGAACAGGACGUCACAGAGGGUGAGAAUCCCGUGCGAUGAGGUGUCCAUUUCCGUGUAAGAUGCUUUCGAAGAGUCGAGUUGUUUGGGAAUGCAGCUCAAAGUGGGUGGUAAAUUCCAUCUAAAGCUAAAUAUUGGCGAGAGACCGAUAGCGAACAAGUACUGUGAAGGAAAGAUGAAAAGAACUUUGAAAAGAGAGUGAAAAAGUACGUGAAAUUGUUGAAAGGGAAGGGUAUUUGAUCAGACUUGGUAUUUAGUUAUCAUUGCUCCUUGUGGGUGGUGCUCUAACUUUUUACUGGGCCAGCAUCAGUUUUGGUGGUAAGAUAAUGACAGUUGAAUGUGGCUCCUCGGAGUGUUAUAGCUUCUGUUGAUGUUGCCUACCGGGACUGAGGUCUGCGGCUUUGCCUAGGAUGCUGGCGUAAUGAUCCAAUACCGCCCGUCUUGAACC
rnacentral:rRNA from 1 species